UUACGGCCAUAUCAUGCUGAGAACACCGGUUCUCGUCUGAUCACCGAAGUUGAGCAACGUCGAGCCUAGUGAGUCCUUAGAUGGGUGAAUGAAAUAAAGAAGGUAGGUGCAGACGUGAC
rnacentral:rRNA from 1 species